UACGAGGGGGGCAAGCGUUGUUCGGAAUUAUUGGGCGUAAAGGGUGCGUAGGCGGCGCGGUAUGUCUCUUGUGAAAUCUCCAGGCUCAACUUGGAGUCUGCAAGGGAAACUGCCGUGCUUGAGUACUGGAGAGGUGAGUGGAAAUUCCCCGGUGUAGCGGUGAAAUGCGUAGAUAUCGGGAGGAACACCUGUGGCGAAAGCGGCUCACUGGACAGUAACUGACGCUGAUGCACGAAAGCUAGGGGAGCAAACAGG
rnacentral:rRNA from 1 species